rnacentral:rRNA from 1 species
AGGACGAACGCUGGCGGCGUGCUUAACACAUGCAAGUCGAGCGGUAAGGCUCCUCCGGGAGUACACGAGCGGCGAACGGGUGAGUAACACGUGAGUAAUCUGCCCUUCACUUCGGGAUAACCACCGGAAACGGUGGCUAAUACCGAAUACGACCAGUCCUUGCAUGAGGUGCUGGUGGAAAGUUUUUCGGUGAAGGAUGUGCUCGCGGCCUAUCAGCUUGUUGGUGGGGUAAUGGCCUACCAAGGCUUCGACGGGUAGCCGGCCUGAGAGGGUGACCGGCCACGACUGGGACUGAGACACGGCCCAGACUCCUACGGGAGCAGCAGUGGGGAAUAUUGGACAAUGGGCGAAAGCCUGAUCCAGCAACGCCGCGUGAGGGAUGACGGCCUUCGGGUUGUAAACCUCUUUGUCAGGGAAGAUGAUGACGGUACCUGACGAAUAAGUCACGGCUAACUACGUGCCAGCAGCCGC